ACGGGAGGCAGCAGUGGGGAAUAUUGGACAAUGGGGGAAACCCUGAUCCAGCGACGCCGCGUGAGUGAAGAAGUAUUUCGGUAUGUAAAGCUCUAUCAGCAGGGAAGAUAAUGACGGUACCUGACUAAGAAGCCCCGGCUAACUACGUGCCAGCAGCCGCGGUAAUACGUAGGGGGCAAGCGUUAUCCGGAUUUACUGGGUGUAAAGGGAGCGUAGACGGCAAGGCAAGUCUGAUGUGAAAACCCGGGGCUCAACCUCGGGACUGCAUUGGAAACUGUAGGGCUAGAGUACUGGAGAGGCAAGCGGAAUUCCUAGUGUAGCGGUGAAAUGCGUAGAUAUUAGGAAGAACACCAGUGGCGAAGGCGGCUUGCUGGACAGAGACUGACGCUGAGGCUCGAAAGCGUGGGGAGCAAACAGGAUUAGAUACCCUGGUA
rnacentral:rRNA from 1 species